GGACUACCGGGGUAUCUAAUCCUGUUCGAUACCCACGCUUUCGAGCAUCAGCGUCAGUUGCGCUACAGUAAGCUGCCUUCGCAAUCGGAGUUCUUCGUGAUAUCUAAGCAUUUCACCGCUACACCACGAAUUCCGCCUACUUUCGGCGCACUCAAGCCCCCCAGUUCGCGCUGCAAGUCGGAUGUUGAGCACCCGCAUUUCACAACACGCUUAAGGGGCGGCCUACGCUCCCUUUAAACCCAAUAAAUCCGGAUAACGCCCGGACCUUCCGUAUUACCGCGGCUGCUGGCAC
rnacentral:rRNA from 2 species